rnacentral:lncRNA from 1 species
UUCUGCCACUUUUUUCUGUAUCUACGAGGAAUGGCAUGUCUCUGGUAGAGGCUGCGGCUUUAGCAGAAUGAGAAUUUGUGUAGAUGUGGGACAGAGCAGAUAGUGAGCCACCAACACGCAGUGUGGGCUCCACUCUGGGAGCAUGGGCUACCAUCUUCAAGUCCACCACUGAGCCAAGAAGGGAGAUGGAGCAAAGAUGUCUCUCAAUGUCUUCCAAGUUUAAACUGAGAUGUAUGCAAAGAAAACAUCCAAGAUACAAAUGUUCUUGAGCCCUAGCUGGGAUGUUGUCCCCAAAUCACUAUGUAGGCUCUCAACCUGAGGAACUGUUCCAUUCUACCUAUCAGUUACAAAUAAAAUUAGUAAAAAUUAGUAAAAACUGCAAGGAAAUUGUGUUUGUUUCUAUUUGCCGUUACUGCUCAAAUAAUAGUGGCAGCCUGAAGCACUGGGUUUAAAAGAUUUUGAGGCUACAUCUGAAUAUGUUGGAGUACCACGAUACAAAAGUGAUUUCUUCUAUAGGUAUGCAUAAGAAAGGAAAUGUAUG